rnacentral:rRNA from 1 species
AGCAGCCGCGGUAAUUCCAGCUCCAAUAGCGUAUAUUAAAGUUGUUGCAGUUAAAAGCUCGUAGUUGAAUUUCGAGACCGGCUUACUGGUCGUGCUAUUGUGCGUACUGGUAUAAUCGGUUUCUCCUUUCUGACGAACUAUAAUGCCAUUAAUUUGGUGUUAUAGGGAAUCAGGACUGUUACUUUGAAAAAAUUAGAGUGUUUAAAGCAGGCUCACGCUUGAAUACAUUAGCAUGGAAUAACGGAAUAGGACGUUUGAUUCUAUUUUGUUGGUUUCUAGGAUCGACGUAAUGAUUAAUAGGGAUAGUUGGGGGCAUUAGUAUUCAAUUGUCAGAGGUGAAAUUCUUGGAUUUAUUGAAGACUAACUACUGCGAAAGCAUUUGCCAAAGGAUGUUUUCAUUAAUCAAGAACGAAAGUUAGGGGAUCGAAGACGAUCAGAUACCGUCGUAGUCUUAACCAUAAACUAUGCCGACUAGGGAUCGGAUGAUGUUAAUUUUUUAAUGACUCAUUCGGCGCCUUACGGGAAACCAAAGUGUUU